rnacentral:rRNA from 1 species
UACAGAGGAGCCAAGCGUUGUCCGGAUUGACUGGGCGUAAAGCGCACGCAGGCGGAUGCGCGCGUGGGGUGUGAAAUCUGGCCGCUUAACGGCCAGGCGCCAUCCCAUACGGCGCGUCUGGAGGGCUGCAGAGGUCGAUGGAAUUGCCGGUGUAGUGGUGAAAUGCGUAGAGAUCGGCAGGAACACCCAGGGGGACACCAGUCGACUGGGCAGCACCUGACGCUGAGGUGCGAGAGCGUGGGGAGCGAACCGG